rnacentral:rRNA from 1 species
CUGACCUCAAAUCGGGUGAGACUACCCGCUGAACUUAAGCAUAUCA